GUGAGUCGAAACUGAGCUUGAAUGCUGCG
rnacentral:sRNA from 1 species